GCGCUUGUAGCUCAGCUGGAUAGAGUACCUGGCUACGAACCAGGUGGUCGAAGGUUCGACUCCUUCCAAGCGCACCA
rnacentral:tRNA from 1 species